AGCUUUGCGUAGUGGCGAUAUCGUUACCAAUGAGGUACAACCGAGGAUGCGAUUAUUGCUGGUUGAAAACUAAAAAAACCAUAACUAUUCAUACGCCAGGAUGGAUCGAAUCUCUCCAAAAUUCCAUU
rnacentral:snRNA from 1 species